rnacentral:rRNA from 1 species
ACGAAGGGGGCUAGCGUUGUUCGGAAUUACUGGGCGUAAAGCGCACGUAGGCGGAUUAUUAAGUCAGAUGUGAAAUCCCAAGGCUCAACCUUGGAACUGCAUUUGAAACUGGUAGUCUAGAGAUCAGGAGAGGUUAGUGGAAUACCGAGUGUAGAGGUGAAAUUCGUAGAUAUUCGGUGGAACACCAGUGGCGAAGGCGACUAACUGGACUGAUACUGACGCUGAGGUGCGAAAGUGUGGGGAGCAAACAGG